GUGACAGGUAAAUAACAGUUAAUCUAAACAGAACAACACGUCUAAAACAAAGCCAAAACAAGAAAGCAAAAGCAUAAACUUAACUAAUAAAACGGAUAACCUGAACCAAGACAAAACCCAAAUCAUGACAGACAGACCUGGCAAAAUCCUUGAGGCCUACUCGUGCUUCAAGAACAUAGACCAUGUUCUUGAGGAGCUGAGACGAAUAGUGGCGAAGGACAACAUGCAUUAUGUGAAAGAGCUGAAGGAGCGCUGGGCAGACUACAGAACCAAACUCUCCUUUUAUGGUGUCUAUAAGAAGAUCCUGAAGCCUGGGACUUCCUGCUGAUGAGCAAGCCAUUGACCUGAUCAUCUCCCUGCCAGAUAUGUUUCCUUCUGGUUACCCUGCACCAAAGAAGAUGUCAUCUCCAUCAGAGGCGCUCAUUCAUGUUCUGCAGCCCACAGAGGCCCCAGACGUCUAUCUGAGAAGACGGCCACUAGCCACACCGUUCAUCCUGGUAGGAAAGGAGGACUGCU